UACAGAGGUCUCAAGCGUUGUUCGGAUUCAUUGGGCGUAAAGGGUGCGUAGGUGGCGCCGUAAGUCGGGUGUGAAAUUUCGGAGCUUAACUCCGAAACUGCAUUUGAUACUGGCGUGCUUGAGGACUGGAGAGGAGACUGGAAUUCAUGGUGUAGCAGUGAAAUGCGUAGAGAUCAUGAGGAAGACCAGUGGCGAAGGCGGGUCUCUGGACAGUUCCUGACACUGAGGCACGAAGGCCAGGGGAGCAAACGGG
rnacentral:rRNA from 1 species